GUUGGCCUCGUCCACCAGCUUUACGAAGCGGUCGAUCUGGUCGGGGGCCGGCGGGCAGAAGUCUGGGAUGCGCAGUCGGUGCACGCUUCCCACCCUGGCUCUGGGAUGCCUCAUCAGUACCAGUCCUGGCCCCACAGGGAGUUCCAUCUUAUUGAGCAGCCAGGUUUGAAAACAGACGUCAUUGCCACAUCUUGGCAGUCAUCUUGUGACUUUGAGGGCACAAGCCAUCUAAUAAGAAUGGUUGGUUCAUGAAUCAGAGGAGAUCUGAGUCGAUGACUUCGUGGAGCCAUACCACCACCCCUGGGCCUUUUUUUUUUUAUGCGUGAAAAUGAACCCUGAGUUUUGCUUAAGCCACUGCAUUUGGGUCUAUGUUACUAUGCUGAAGGCAAUUCUUACUGAAGCAACCCCUCACCCUUCUGCUGAGCUCACAUUGACUGUGUAUAUGCUUGCUAUUCCCCUUAGCCAAAGUGUACUCUGCAUAUUAUCAUUUGACCAUGAUGAUACAUAAACGGAAUAGCUGUCCUUGAUUUUUUUUUUCUUAAUGCCAAGGUAAGUCUCUGCAUUUUUCUUCGACUUAUCCAGUUGUACAAAGCAGAAUGGAUUUGACUCUCUGAGGUAUAUAAAGCACAUUCUAUAAAUGUAAGGGACAGAGCCUAAACCGGUACAACACAAGUUAUAGUUAGCAGGUACACAGAGAUGUUGGAAUCAAUGAUUCUUUCUUCCCAGAGUCAGCACCCAAUCAUGUCACAGUGAUUGUUUCUGCAUCACAGAGAUUGGGGUAGAGUCCUCAGUGGCAAACUUUACCAGUUUCUACUGUGAAACUGAGUCAUACCCACCACACUUCCUAAAGGGGUAUAUUUGAAAAAAAUUUACACAUUAAUAUCCUUUCCUUGCCUUGCCUCUUUCCCCCUAAAACCCUAGGAGAAACAAAGCUCAAGAUAGGGAGAUUGCAACUGGAAAGUGGGAAGUAGAAAAAUGGACUCACUCUAGUGCUGCCCAAUAUAAGGAUAUGAUGUGAAUGGUGCCCCCUACAGGGCUUAUUCCCACCCUCGAUUUUAUCUUCCAUCCCAGCUACUGUCAUCCCAAAGUCCUUGGGGGAUGCCAUUGUAAAAUUCUUCUUCUGGUUCCUCCUUAUCCUUCUGGGAAAUGCCUCAAGGUGUUUUGCAUGAUGGAGCAGGGGGAGGGGUCCUAUGGGACACCAAGAGUUAAAGUAAAUGGUUCUCAACACUCUUCAGGCUGCAAAAAGCAAGGUUGAGAGCUCUGUGAUUGAAAUCUCUAUAAGUGGUCACCUAGGCAUAAAAACCACCCUUACUGUUCCCUCAGAAUAGGUGGCAUGACUUAAAACUUGAAAGCAGUAGAUUUAGGAUAAAAAUGAAAUGAUAUUAUUUUAAACAAAGAACUCUUGGGUGCCUGGAUGCUUCUAGGCCUUAACCCUUCUUAACAAGUUGAGGUACUCAAAAGAACCAGGGAUGUGUCUAAAUGACCCCGUUUGUGAGAUGCUUGAUGUCUGGCUCUGACUCUUUGGCAGCCUUGAGGUUAUCUCGCAGAUUUGGGGCUUAGAGGGAGUCACACAUGUGAGUCAUGGUCACCCCCCUCAUUUUUCUCUUUAUAGCUUCCAUUUGGAUUGGCAUUUAUGCAGUUAGUCAUUUCUCUAAUAAAUAACCCACAUUAAUUUUUCAGUGAUGGAUUUCCUGUCUCCUUAGUCUCUGUAGUCCUUUUUUUUGCCUGCCCUGCCCACCUCAGCCUUUGGAUAUUAUUUUUUCGUCAUUUUUAUGUUAAUGCUGAUGCUGUAAUAAAGAAGCUACCGCUUCAGGUCUUUGUUCUUUCUAGUCUGUUCCAGGCUGUGUGUCACCUGUUGAUAGGACAAGUCAUUUAGUCCAUCUGAGCUUCAGUUCCUUCAUCUGUUAGUACCAAUUGCUGUGAAAUAGACUGACUCAACCCUAUGUGUGUCAGAGUAGAACUGUGCUCUAUAGGGUUUUCAGUGGCUGAUUUUUCAAAAGGAGAUAGAAGGGCCCAUCUUCAGAGGCACCUCUGGGUGGACUUGAACCUCCAAUCCUUCAGUACACAGCUGAGGGCUUUAACCAUUUGCCCCGCUCAGGGACUCAUCUGUUAAAUGUAAACACAUGUCUUGAGAAUAGUAGCUCAUGGUCACAAGGUAAUGAGUGGAGGAGUCCAGGUCUGCACACAGGUCUCCUGAUUCCCAUGACGCCCAUAACUCAUAGCUUGUUGUGAAACUCAGAUUAGGUAAUGUACUUACAGGCAUUUUAUACUCUGAAAAUGACAUGAAGAUCUUUGUGAUUAUUAGGAAUUUUCUCUCAGAGAAAAUUACUUUCCUUCACUGUUUUGUUACUUCCUCAAACCUCAGGGGGAAUGGCUUUUAGACUUCAUAAAGAGUCAACUAAUGCUUAUGAAAUUUUAAACUAUAGUUGAGAAAGCUUUCAUUGGCCUUUUCCUGUGAUCUCACUGGAAACUAGACUUUGUUCUUUUCUGCUAUCAUCCUCUUUAGGUAUACCAUUUCUGCACAGGUGUAUGUGGUGUGUGUGUGCAUAUAUCCCUUCAAGAGUCAUGAAGAUUCUGUGUUCUUAUUUUAUAUCUAUGUCGGCUCAGAGCUGGGCUCAGAUAUUGUUGAUUUCUGUGCAUAUUCUUGUAGAAAGAACGUUUUCUGGAAAUAAAGGCAAAGGUGAUUAUAGAACAGGAGUAGGAUUCUUUCUGUGGGGAUUUUAAUUUGAACCAAACUUCGGUGGGAGAUAAUGGAGAUACAAAGUGAUGGAAUUUUGUGUUGUCACCAGGAGUAGUUAACAUUGUUCAUGGUGAUGGGGCCUCCGGUCCUAAUGACCUGGACUGGUGGGCACUGACAUAUGAGGUGCAUGGUGAAGUGUUCACCAAGACCCAGCUGUGGCCCUGGGCCCUGUUGCUCUCAGGGAGCAGCAUCCUUGCGGUGCCUCCUGGGGAUUGCUCUUCCCAUAUCCCUUGUCCUAGGCUCUGGUGCCCUAACAUUGCUGUCCACAUGGAGGGGCUGUCUCUCCAACUCUGUCUUUCUGACCCAAGAACACUUCAGAGGAUCUGUGUGAGUUCUUGAAAGGAAGGAACUUAUUUAAGAAGAGGGGUUGGUCAUGAGAAAUAGUAAAAUUGUAGAAUUUUUAAAACCAAAGAGAGCCUCAGAAACCUUAAAGCUCGAAGUUCUUAUUUUAUAGAUUAAGGACACUGAGGCCUAGAGGGGUUAAGUGAUCCAAGUUUUACAGCAAAACAGUAUCUGUGUUAGAAUGAUAAUUCAGAUCUUUUGAUUUCUAAUUAAAUGUGCUUUUCUACAGCAUCUUUCUGUAAUCAGGAGGAAGUCAGUCUUUUGAUGAAUAACUGUAGGAGGGUUAGGGCAGAUUUGAGAAUUGCCUGACUUAUUGUUUGGCAGUAGUAGCCACUCUAAGGGAAAAUGGCUCUGAGAUAGUUUUAAAAAACAAUCAGGGUCACAAAAAUGGACAAAUAAAUCGUAAUGUCCUGGCCCACAUACCCCAGUAUUCUUCAUUUGUCUUCCUGUUUACAGUCCUGCCUUCUGGUGUCUUUCAUCUUAAUAAACUAAAGAGAAUAAGAAGGUGCCCACUGGAGUCUCUGUAGCAUAUAUACUUCUUUUAUUUUUGUUCACAAACAUGAGUUCUUAUAAGAACCUGGAAAGAAAGAGAACAGGAAAGGCACAUUUCCUUUGUUUUCUGUAUCUGCUGCCUGAUUUCCUUUGUGGCCAUGGAAUGUGGGCCUGGGCUUAUUUCCAAGGCUAUGUGUAACCAAGAACUGGAAAUGAAAAAUUUAGUGAUGGUGUUUAGCUGUUUUCUUCUAUUUUUACAUAAAAUUUAUUAAAAAUAGAGUUUAAAUAAAUUGAGCUAGUGUGUUAAAUUGUCAAAUAGAGUGUAUGUUUUCACCCAGUGGUGAGUUGGAGCUAGCCCAUACUGGCUCACAAUAAUGGAUUGCUAGAUAUUUGGGAAUUUUGCUAGCCUAUUGCUAAAAAAAAAAAAAAAAAAAAAAAAAUUUUUU